AGAGAGGUGGCCGAGUGGUCGAAGGCGCACGCCUGGAAAGUGUGUACACCUCAAAAGGGUGUCGAGGGUUCGAAUCCCUUCCUCUCUG
rnacentral:tRNA from 1 species